CCUACGGGAGGCUGCAGUGGGGAAUAUUGGGCAAUGGAGGAAACUCUGACCCAGCAAUGCCGCGUGAAUGAAGAAGGUCUUCGGAUUGUAAAGUUCUUUAGUCAGGGAAGAAGUCAAUGACGGUACCUGAAGAAUAAGCUCCGGCUAACUACGUGCCAGCAGCCGCGGUAAUACGUAGGGAGCAAGCGUUGUUCGGAAUGACUGGGCGUAAAGGGUGCGUAGGUGGUUUGACAAGUUAGUAGCGUAAUUCCGGGGCUCAACUUCGGAACUACUACUAAAACUGUUGGGCUUGAGUGCAGGAGAGGUGAAUGGAAUUCCUAGUGUAGCGGUGGAAUGCGUAGAUAUUAGGAGGAACACCAGCGGCGAAAGCGAUUCACUGGACUGUAACUGACACUGAGGCACGAAAGCGUGGGGAGCAAACAGGAUUAGAUACCCGGGUAGUC
rnacentral:rRNA from 1 species